UGGCAGGAUCAACCAGGGAUCAUUCGGGUUCACUUUGGCGUUGCAUCGAAGGAUCGAAAAACAACACCAACUGGUCGUUCGCAUAUAGCGUGUGACGCUAUUUUAGGGGGCAAAAUGGAGACCGUUGAUGCCUCGCUACCCACGAGGUACUCCGUGACCAAGAGAACGAGAACCGUGCCAUUGAUCCAACGGCCCAAGGACGUUAUUUAAGCCACGGGCGUUGGAGCAUGACAUUUGCUUCGAAGUUCACCUCGUGCCACGAACCCAAGGGCUCGCAGCGAAAGGCGAAAGGGUCCGUUGUUAAUCCGACGAAUUCCCACACUUUGGGUAUGGAACACAAGAAACCGAGCUUGGCCAAGAUGUUUUUCUUGCACUUGAACCAAUUACUGAAGAGGCAUGCCGGAUACGUUUUCGU
rnacentral:misc_RNA from 1 species